GUUGAAAGUUGAUCAGUGAAGUGCUAGCAUGUCUCUGCUAUUUUUUAGAUUUGGUCCUCUUUCUUUGUCACUUUUUCUCUCUCUGUCUACUUUUUCAUCCCACACCACAGAUGGAAAUGAAGGCAUGGCCCUCUUUAGGCCUCCAUCGCACAGACAGCUAUUUAACCUGCUAGCAACUGCCUCAAACAGGUGUAAAUACUCGCCCAGAGAACUCCUCGUGCUGCCAUGAUGGAAAAGGAAACGGCCUCUCCAGCUGGAAGAACAAGUGCUGUGUGGGCUCCCUGAAGUGGUGCAACACUGGGUCAUUGGAGAGCCACAGCGUGUUUGGGAACAGAACAGUCUGUGUUAUUUCAGCACAGCCUGUUGGAUGAAGGGCCAUUUCACAGGCAUUAUGGAUUAAUCUUUGGCAGGAUCUCUCCAGGAUCAAACAAAAUUGGAUGUUUAACCUCACGUGUCCUAGAGCUGAGAGUUCUCUUGUGAUAAACCAGGAUAGAGAGGAUUGAAUCUGACCCACAUUGGGUUAAACAUCACAUGCUUGUAAAUAUAUUUAAACUGAACCCUGAAUGAAAAGAUGAAAAUAUAGUGAGUAUACACAUCCUUGCUCAGGUGAGUAUAAUCUAACCCCUGAAAAAAUGAUUAAAUUCAUAACAUUAUAUUCCACUAAGUCGGGAAAACAUUGAGUCUUUAUUAUUUUAACUACUCUUACACAAACAGAAAAAAGAAAGAAAACGAUUAAAGACCUUUGAGAAAUCCCCUGAUAGUGUUCCUGUUCAGUUACAAAAGUGUCUUUUUCAAAUGUACAGUUGUAUUUUUAUAUUUGCUACACAGAAACACAGAUUCACAGCUGAAACCUCCCAUCGCUUCCCUCACUUGUUAUAAACUGUUUGUUAUAUUGGGGAGUGUAGAAAUAUUCCCAAGUUCAGAUUGACAGGAG